rnacentral:sRNA from 1 species
GCCGGGCGUGGUGAUGCACAUCUGUAAUUCCAGCAGCUCUGGAGGCUGAGGCAGGAGGAUUGUGAGGUCAAAGCCAGCCUUAACAAAAGCAAGGCACUAAGCAACUCAGUGAGACUCUGUCUCUA